GAGGCCAGUGUUGAUCAGUGGCUGUCCAGGCCUUUCAGAGCCACUGACACGCCGGCAGCACAAUGAUGAUGUCUCUGACUCUACUGCUGGCCACCCUGGGGCUCCUUGUUCAGGGUUCAUCAGGAGAAAUCACUGUGACUCAGUCUCCUGGAUCUCAGUCUGUUGUUCCAGGACAGACUGUCUCUAUCAGAUGUCAAACCAGUUCAGAUGUUAGUAGCUUCCUCAACUGGUACCUUCAGAAACCUGGAGAAGCUCCUAAACUCCUGAUUUAUGGUGAUACAACCCGUGAAUCUGGAGUUCCAGAUCGUUUUAGUGGAAGUGGAACUGACCCUGACUUCACUCUGACCAUCAGUGGAGUUCAGGCUGAAGAUUCAGGAGUUUACUACUGUCAGAGUGCACAUGUUAUCAACAGUCUGUGGGUGUUCACACAGUGAAAAAGCGUCGUACAA